ACUCAAAGGAAUAGACGGGGGCCCGCACAAGCGGUGGAGCAUGUGGUUUAAUUCGAUGCAACGCGAAGAACCUUACCAAGAUUUGACAUGCCAGCGGCAGGUUUAGAGAUAGACCUUCCCUUCGGGGCGCUGGACACAGGUGGUGCAUGGUUGUCGUCAGCUCGUGUCGUGAGAUGUUGGGUUAAGUCCCGCAACGAGCGCAACCCUUAUCCUUAGUAGCAACCGGCGUAAGCCGGGCACUUUAGGGAGACUGCCGUGGAUAACACGGAGGAAGGCGGGGAUGAGGUCAAAUCAUCAUGCCCUUUAUGUCUUGGGCUACACACGUGCUACAAUGGCUGCAACAAAGUGACGCAAGCCUGCGAAGGCAAGCCAACCACAAAAAAGCAGUCUCAGUUCGGAUUGCAGUCUGCAACUCGACUGCAUGAAGCUGGAAUCGCUAGUAAUCGCGGAUCAGCAUGCCGCGGUGAAUACGUUCCCGGGCCUUGCACACACCGCCCGU
rnacentral:rRNA from 1 species